rnacentral:rRNA from 1 species
GACGGAGGAUGCAAGCGUUAUCCGGAAUCAUUGGGCGUAAAGCGUACGUAGGCGGCUUAUCAAGUCUGGGGUCAAAGACCACAGCUUAACUGUGGAAAGGCCUUGGAAACUAGUGAGCUGGAGUGAGGUAGGGGUUGCGGGAAUUCCCGGUGUAGCGGUGAAAUGCGUAGAUAUCGGGAAGAACACCUGAGGCGAAAGCGCGCGACUGGGCCUUAACUGACGCUGAGGUACGAAAGCUAGGGGAGCGAAGGGG